rnacentral:rRNA from 1 species
AUUGAACGCUGGCGGCAUGCUUUACACAUGCAAGUCGAACGGCCGCGCGGGCUUCGUCCUGGCGGCGCGUGGCGAACGGGUGAGUAAUACAUCGGAACGUGCCCAGUAGUGGGGGAUAGCUCGGCGAAAGCCGGAUUAAUACCGCAUACGACCUGAGGGUGAAAGCGGGGGAUCUUCGGACCUCGCGCUAUUGGAGCGCCCGGUGGCAGAUUAGCUAGUUGGUAGGGUAAGGGCCUACCAAGGCGACGAUCUGUAGCUGGUCUGAGAGGACGACCAGCCACACUGGGACUGAGACACGGCCCAGACUCCUACGGGAGGCAGCAGUGGGGAAUUUUGGACAAUGGGCGAAAGCCUGAUCCAGCAAUGCCGCGUGUGUGAUGAAGGCCUUCGGAUUGUAAAGCACUUUUGGCGGGAAAGAAAAGGACUGUGCCAAUACCACGGUUCGAUGACGGUACCCGCAGAAUAAGCACCGGCUAACUACGUG